ACGACGUGGCGAGGCAGCGACACCGGGAGACGCACGGUCACCGCGUCCUGGACAACCGUCCAGGACGAGCUCCCGGUCGAGCCAGUGGUGAGACCGACGCCCCGGACC
rnacentral:ncRNA from 1 species